UGGCUGUUUGUAAGAAUUCUAGGGGCCAAGCCAUGCUAGUUCCAAACCAGCAGGGGGAGCCGCCCCUUUUCUGAGGAAAAGGAGCAGGAAUCGCUGACACACUGGACCUUGAUGGGGUUCUAGGGAGGCUGCAGAAAAGCUCUGUGACAGGCAAAUCCUUUUUACUUUUUCCAGAGCUGUCAGCAAAAUGGGGAUAAUAACAUCUACUUUGGAACUGUUCUGAGGAUCACGUAAGGAGACACAAUUGAAAUUGUGGAUUAUAAAGCAUGAAUCAACGAUGCUCUUUCUCUGCAUUUCUUCACAUACAUAGAUCUAAAGAGGUCCCGGCUCCAAGGAGAGAGAACCUAGAACAAGGCCUGGGAACAGGAGGAAGAGCAGGUGCCUCCAGAGUCACAACAGUCGUUCAAGAGGCUCUUUGAUGCCAUGGCCUUCCCUAGGAUAAAGAGUCCUCCACAGCCCUGUGUCCCGUCAACUUGAUGUCACAUGUGAACAGGAAUGGGCAUCCCUUCCAGAUAGAAGAUUUCCGACCACACUUCCUGACAAGCAGCAGGACCUUGGGAUCUGAGGUGGAGCCCAGCAACUAACAAGACAGAACUUACCACCUGCCUGGGAGUGAGCAGUUCAGGUUGUAAAUGGUGACCUUCCGUCUACAUAUAACACAGAUGAAGACAGCUCAACUUCUUAUCCAAGUACUUGGGGAGCAGUGCAGAGGGGAUGAAUUCCCAGGAAUGGCCAGGCUCUAAAAUAAGAAGGGAGAUUAUAGAUAGGCCUGAGGAAAAAGCCAAUCCAGAUACUCACUAAAUAUCUCUUCAGGUAGAAACAGGACUUCUUGGCUCAAGGAUUAUGUCAGCAUAUGUAUUCCAUCCAGUAGAGUCUACAAGGUUGAUGCUACCUGCCCUGGGCACCGGGGCGCC